rnacentral:misc_RNA from 1 species
GAUGAAGAACGUAGCGAAAUGCGAUAAGUAAUGUGAAUUGCAGAAUUCAGUGAAUCAUCGAAUCUUUGAACGCACAUUGCGCCCGCUAGUAUUCUGGCGGGCAUGCCUGUCCGAGCGUCAUUUCAACCCUCAAGCCCCCGGGCUUGGUGUUGGGGAUCGGCGAGCCUCCGCGCCCGCCGUCCCCUAAAUCUAGUGGCGGUCUCGCUGUAGCUUCCUCUGCGUAGUAGCACACCUCGCACUGGGAAACAGCGCGGCCACGCCGUUAAACCCCCAACUUCUGAACGUUUGACCUCGGAUCAGGUAGGAAUACCCGCUGAACUUAAGCAUAUCAAUAGGCGGGGGA